GGAAGCGGAUGGGUCCCGGUGGGUCCCUCGGACUUCAAAUCCGUAGUCGGGUGGUAAUACCGGCCGAGGUGGGUUCGACUCCUACACGUUUCC
rnacentral:tRNA from 1 species